rnacentral:rRNA from 1 species
GCGCCCCCGGAACCGCACGGUCGCAGAGGCCCCCGCGGUGCUCUUUAGUGAGUGUCCGCCGGUUCGGGUCGCCGAACGUUUACUUUGAAAAAAUUAGAGUGCUCCAGGCAGGCCGGUAAAGCGUUGUUUAAAAAAGACCCGCGCCUGAAUAGUCACGCAUGGAAUAAUGAAAGAGGACCGGUGGUCCUAUUUUGUUGGUUUUCGGGAUUUUCCGCCGUCAUGAUUAAGAGGGACGGCCGGGGGCAUUCGUACCGCGGCGCGAGAGGUGAAAUUCUAGGACCGCCGCGAGACGAACCGUUGCGAAAGCAUUUGCCAAGAAUGUUUUCCUUAAUCAAGAACGAAAGUCAGAGGUUCGAAGGCGAUCAGAUACCGCCCUAGUUCUGACCGUAAACGAUGCCACCUGACGAUCCGCCAGGGUUACUACCAUGACUCGGCGGGCAGCCCCCGGGAAACCCAAGCCUUCGGGUUCCGGGGGAAGUAUGGUUGCAAAGCUGAAACUUAAAGGAAUUGACGGAAGGGCACCACCAGGAGUGGAGCCUGCGGCUUAAUUUGACUCAACACGNNNNNNNNNACCCGGCCCGGACACCGCGAGGAUUGACAGAUUGAGAGCUC